rnacentral:lncRNA from 12 species
CUGCUGUUCAUCUACUGUGCCCUGGGGAGCCAGAUGUCACGUCUUGCAGCUAGGUGUGCCGUUAGAAGGAGUCAGUCUUGGAGAGACUCUAACUUUAUUCUUGGGACCUUAAUGCCCAUGUGAGGCUCCUUUUAAGGAAAGCUGGCUGCUUGAGGCCACCACCGUGGAGCAGGAGUGGGCCACGAACCCAAGGACAGCCAGCUGUGGAUUGACCAGCAGCCACACUUUGUAUGGGGAGCGAGUCGGUGCUCUCUUGUAUGUGGCUGCCUGGGCUGUUGCUGUUUGUUUAUUCAGGAAGGUUAACUAUGGAGAGGAUGCAUCCCCAGGUGGGAAAUCUCCAGAAGCCCCCUUCCACAAAGCUGGCAGCCCUUGCCCAGGGCUAUCGCAAUGAUUCCAGACGUCUGAAGAAUCUAAACCUUCUCUCCUAAAUUAGUAUCUAGAGAAGGGUUGCUAGUUUUCCACGCUGGAUUAGAGGGAAGGAGAAGUCCGCAGAGGGCCAAAGCUGCCAGGAGGACCUGGAAUGAGGGGAGCAGGUGACAUCUGAGGCCUUAGGGUUAAGGAGAGCAGGACAACCAGUGACUCUGAAGUGAGUCUGUAUGGAUCAUUAAAAGGGGGGGCAGAUAUCUGUAACCACAAAACUGUUCUGGGGAAUACGUAGCCUGGAAAAAUAAAAAAUAUUAGGAAAGAGAUGGCUAAAUGCCU